AUACCAGAAACUGAGUGCAUUUUUGAGGCAAAGUUAUUUUAUACACAUCUGUUUAAAUGGAGCAGCAGCAGAGUUUUGAGUGCACUGAAUGUGAAAGUAACCCUUAUGAAAAUGGCUGUCAGAAUGAUUCUGAGGAACCAGAAAGGGGGGGGUGAAGCUGCAUUUUUUUCACACGCUGGAGGACGUGGAUGAAGCAGAGAAACCCAAACCUCGACACACACGAUCUGUCAAGUUCUCUGACAUAAAUAGAACAAAAAGCACAAGAUUUUGUGAAUUCAAACUGAAGGUUUUUGGUUCUUAACGUGUGACUACAGACACGGAUAAACACACAGAUGAUGACCUGAGUGCAGGAGCUCUUCAAACCUUAUGCGUUAUUUCUUAUCUGUGGUUACACUGACAGGCGAGCAAUCAAGCGUCACUUUCUCCACAUUCAAAUACACCACUCAGCACUUUCACAUAAUGAUCCGAUUACUUAUCACUGAUCUUUAACAUGGACUCACAUCAAAUACUUGGAGGAGGCUGGAAGAUUUACAGUGGAGAUGAAAAUUUUCCAGCAAUUAGCAGGAUGUGGAGUGUACUGCUGUUUAUACCAGAGAUGGUUACCUUGACAUGGCUGUUUGACCGCUGAGCAACUGCAUUAAAGGCAACAUUAAGCACAAUUAAGGCUAGCGUGCGUGGCCAUGCAUUAGUGGUUAGAAUGUGCGGUUGUGCCUUUAUCAGUUAGC